GUUCUUGUCAUGCAUUUCUUUAGUUUGAAGAGAGAAGAGCAUUAGUCUCAUUAGAUCUAGAUCUACGUCCUACUACUGAACUUGUAACUGAACCUCCUGCAGGACCAUAUAGUUAUAGUAGGCGUACCUAGCAGUGUACCCUGCGGGCAGAGUGGGGGCUCAGGACAGUGGGCUGUUAGCUAUCUGUAAUCUUCUUACAUCCUGAUACUACAUUGGAGCAUUGCCUUGCUCCUUUUUACUCGUAAAUACUUGCUGACCUUUUCGGCAUGGAGAGUGGUUCCCUUGUGGCAGAUGAGAAACAUGUUCAGCCUCUACAUUCUGAUGUUGAACAACUGAUGUCAAGUAUUGAUCAUGAGCUGGGUGCACUAAAUGAGAUCUGUGAUCAAUCCAUAGGCAGUUCUGAUGAAACUGCAUUUGCUUCAAAAGAUUUCCCAGAUAUUUAAAAGCCAGAAGAGAAUAAUAACAUUGAGCAAACUAUUACAAAUAUUGGUCAAGAUCUGAGUGAGCAAAAGGAGACCUGUGAUCAAUCUUCAGAUUUUUUGGCCCAACAUGAUAUCUGCCUUCAGAAAGAAAUGGUCAGAUGUUUAACACCGCUACAAAAUGUAUGUUGCAUCAAAGCAACUGCGCACAGUUCAUUUAAAGACUUGGAUAGUUUUCUAUCAAUGACCUACCACAAAAUUAUCAUCAUGAUGAAAUGUUCAACUUGAUCAAAGCUCUAGCUGAUCUCACUGUAAUGAUUCAAUCACCAUAUGAGAAAAUAGAAGGUUCAUUGCUUCAAGGGACCGGGAAAGUGGAUGGGUGUUUAUUAACACUGAUGAGAAUCGACCCUGCAGGUGCCUAGAGUGUAAAGGCUCUAAAAACCCAAGUAGCCAGUGGGGCAUGGUAAGAAUUCUCAUAUCUUCAAGCUUGCUCAGUGGUAGCCAAGAUGUAUCAAAGUAUAAAUGUACUUUAUUUUUUAAUAACCUUUUAGAUGAUGAGAAAGUAAUACAUUUGUAUGGUGAUUUAAUCACUAUCAGAAAUAAAACACGAGAUGUCUGUACAUUUACUUGCAUAUCCUGUAAUAUGCAAGUUAUAAAACAGCUGCAGCAAUGUGUAGAUGUUUUUGUAAAAUGCUGGUAUGCAGCUUUUUCAAAGUAUUACUCAACAGUUAAAAGUGAAGUGGACAGAUUAGUGGUCAUGGUGACCCAUCCCCAUUCUUGUCCUUAACACAUUUCACUGGGACGAUGGAAAAAAUUAAGGCCACAUGUUGAGUAUGUGGCAGCGACAUGUCCAGGUUCCUCAGGAUCAUAUCUUUUGCUUCCCAAUUUCGAUGUAGAUGAUGAUGAUUUUAUGUAAAUUUAUCAAUUUCCUGUUGUAAUUUAUUUCAGUGUUAUUAAAGUUGUUUUUUUUUAAUAGUAUAUUGGGUUGUGACAGUAUUAUAGAAUAUAUUGGGUUGUGACAGUAUCAUAGAAUAUUUUGGAUUGUGACAGUAUUAGAGAAUAUAUUGGUUUGCGACAGUCUCAGAGUAUAUUGGGUUGUGACAGUAUCAUAGAACAUAUUGGGUUGUGACAGUAUCAUAGAAUAUAUUGGGUUGUGACAGUAUUAUAGAAUAUAUUGGAUUGUGACAGUAUUAGAGAAUAUAUUGGGUUGUGACAGUAUCAUAGAAUAUAUUGGGUUGUGUCAGUAUCAUAGAAUAUAUUGGAUUGUGACUGUAUUAGAGAAUAUAUUGGGUUGUGACAGUAUCAGAGUGUAUUGGGUUGUGACAGUAUUAUAGAAUAUAUUGGGUUGUGUCAGUAUUAUAGAAUAUAUUGGAUUGUGACUGUAUUAGAGAAUAUAUUGGGUUGUGACAGUAUCAGAGUAUAUUGGGUUGUGACAGUAUCAGAGUAUAUUGGGUUGUGACAAAUAUCAGAGAUUAUAUUGAAUUGUGACUGCAUUAUUCAUUCUUUUAUUUAUUUGUGGUACCUUGGUAAAUAUUUUUGGUGUGAACAUGUAAACUGUUUAAAAAUAUUUUUUUUUGUGACAAUAUCAUUGAUUCUUUUAUUUAUGUGUGGUACCUUGGUAAAUUUUACUUUUUUUUUUACUUUGGUAAACAUUGUUAGUGAAUGUUAUAAUGCUUGAAAUAUUUUUCUUUGAUGAUGACAAAGUAUUGCAGUAGUUGGAGAUUUUAGUUGAGACAAGAUAAUUCAUUAUUCUUUAAAAGUAAAUGCUCAUCAAUUUGAUAUUCUUUUAACAGUUCAUUCUUAAACAGAAAUUUACAUUUGUAAAUUGUUUUUCCAGGACCCUUUAUUUUUGCAUUAUCUGUUAUUAUUCUUGGGUUAUAAUAUAAAUUUAUGCAAAAAGCUGGAAAAUUGGUUGGUGGACACAGAAUUAGACAACAAUAGGUCAGUCUAGUCAUGCAUGUUAAUCAAUUACUUAAACUCUGCCAAGUCAUUGGUUAUCCUGGCUGACUCAGGCAACCCAUGCCAUGCUCUAAUAGCUCUAGGGAAGGAGUAUUUGUACAAAUUGGCCCUAGCAUAUGGAACAAGGAAUGUGCCUUUAUCUUUGUGUCUUUCUAAGUAUUUUAUUAGGUUUUGUUUUUGUAUUUUAAGAUUAUGGUUCAGUGUUUUAUGUAUCAUUGCUAUUUUACUUUUAAGUCUUCAUUCCUGAAGGGCCUUUACAUUUAAUGAUGGUACUAAACGCUUUACUCUAAUAAAAUGUGAAUAUUCGUUUGUUAUAAAUCUCA